rnacentral:pre_miRNA from 1 species
AUCAUCCACAGAUCUUGUUAAACUACAAACUCAGGUGCGGUAGGCCUAAACGGGAGCCUGGAUUCUGCAUUUCCAACAAGUUCUCAGGGUAUGCC